rnacentral:rRNA from 1 species
GACGAACGCUGGCGGCGUGCUUAACACAUGCAAGUCGAACGGAAAGGCCCUGCUCUUGUGGGGUGCUCGAGUGGCGAACGGGUGAGUAACACGUGAGUAACCUGUCCUUGACUUUGGGAUAACUUCAGGAAACUGGGGCUAAUACAGGAUAGGAGCUCCUGCUGCAUGGUGGGGGUUGGAAAGUUUCGGCGGUUGGGGAUGGACUCGCGGGUUAUCAGCUUGUUGGGGGGGUAGGGGAUUACCAAGGCUUUGACGGGUAGCCGGCCUGAGAGGGUGACCGGCCACCUUAGGACUGAGAUACGGCCCAGAAUGCUACGGGCGGCAGCAGUGGAGAAUAUUGCGCAGUGGGCGGAAGCCUGAUACAGCAGCGCCGCGUGCGGGAUGACGUCCUUCGGGUUGUAAACCGAUUUCGCAUGUGACGAAGCGUGAGUGACGGUAAUGGGUAAGGAAGCACCGGCUAACUACGUG